AUGAGAUUCACUUCUCUUGUUGUUUAUUCCCUUUUCAUAUUGUUUAUUCCCUUUUCAUAUUGUUUAUUCCCUUCUCUUGUUGUUUAUUCCCUUCUCUUGUUGUUUAUUCCCUUCUCUUGUUGUUUAUUCCCUUCUCUUGUUGUUUAUUCCCUUCUCUUGUUGUUUAUUCCCUUUUAUUAUUGUUUAUUCCCUUUUCUUGUUGUUUAUUCCCUUUUAUUAUUGUUUAUUCCCUUCUCUUGUUGUUUAUUCCCUUCUCUUGUUGUUUAUUCCCUUUUAUUAUUGUUUAUUCCCUUCUCUUGUUGGUUAUUCCCUUUUAUUAUUGUUUAUUCCCUUCUCUUGUUGUUUAUUCCCUUCUCUUGUUGUUUAUUCUCUUGUUGUUUAUUCCCUUAUCUUGUUGUUUAUUAUGUUCACCCACUA
rnacentral:lncRNA from 13 species